AUCCGCUCCCUGCUGGAUCGUUAUCCAUACUUUACUUGCACCCUGUAAUUCUUUUCAACCCUGCCUGGCAACCAGAACAAUGUCCUACAUCAUUCCAUCAAGACCCCUGUCCACCAGUACUCACCUCCCAACACGUUUGUCACCACCAUCAGCUUUCCAUCACCAGGGCUUACCUGUCUACACGUCUGGCGUUACUAUUCAGUUAUAUUUUUGUCAUCAAUAAAUACUCACCUUUUUCAUCACC